AGUACGACAACCUUUUAUAAAAUGCUGUUGCUAAUAACAGCUAAUAAUUCAUUAUUGAUAAGAGAAAAAAUCAGUGAAUGUUAUGGUGCGUCAUCUUAAAUUACUUUUUAAUAUUUCUAGCAGUUUUGAUGUGUUUUGUGGAUUUUAUCAGUGAAAUUAUUAUUUAUUAUUGAUAUCAGAAAAGCCUUUACUUAUAAAAGUGCAAAUUGUGCAAAGCCAAGCUCUUCAUGAAUAUUUUUGUUUUGCAAACUGUUUACGAAUAAAUUAUGUGCUACAAUAUUUAAAUAUAAUGGAGAGGCCCAUUCCUGCCCCUAGAGAGUUCAAAAAGCCAGUACCAGCUCCCAGGAAAAAUAUAAAUAGGAAUAAUCAAAGGGUAGCCAAUUUAGAAACAAAUAUUAUUGAGGAACCUUUCACAGAAAUAGCAAUUGUUGAAGAAACAAAACAAAGCAAAAUUAGUGAAGACAAGGGCGAACAGUUUAAUACAUUUUCGAGAAGGGUUACUAAUGCAUCAAAACAGAUAGCUGGAGAUAUUGGUCAAUUAGUACAAGGUCGAAAAAAGGCUGUCAUAGAGGGUACCAGGCAGAGCGUCAGGCGAUUAACACGAAAAUUUAGUUCCGCAUCUCAGUUAGAACGAAAACACGAUAAAAAUAGUGCAAGUCAACAAGAUUUAGAAGUGUCUAUUGAUAUAUUUAACAACAUUAAAUUUGAGUCACCUAUUAGUAGGGCCAACAGUAUUUAUAGCAACAUUGAAAAUGAAUUGGAGUCCGGAUCAUCAGAUGAAUCGCUUACAUUUCCCCCUCCAAAACAUCCCCCACCGCCCCUUCCUGCAGAAGGGGUAUAUGACGCACCAUCUAGUUCUCCAGUAACGUCAAGCACGGAAUCAAGCACCUCUGGGAGAAACCAAAGUAAGACAGACAAUUAUGAAAGCAUUUUUCCUCAACUUCCUCAGAAUAACAAUAAUUUAAACUCAGAUAAUAUGUCUAGUUCCUGUUCGUGGAAAUAUUAUGACACAGUAAAUCAACAGGAAAAUAUUUAUGAUAACAUUGGCGUCAAAGAAGAAAAUUCUCAUCAAGAAGAAAAAUCAACAGCAUCCGAUGAACAAGUUCUAAUACCCGCUAAAGUUGAGAAUACUCACAGGGUGUCUAAUGCUUCUUCAAUGAAUCAUACUAAUUCGAUUUACGAAAACCACGAAGUAGUGUUUCUUAGAGAAAACAAGGAUGCCUCAAAUUCCAAUAAGACUUCUAAAAGUGUUUUAAUGCAGUUUGAUCCGUUAACCCAUUUAUCUAGUACACAAUUUUCCGAGUUAAAUUUACUGGAGGAUCUUUUGCAAGGAGACCUUUACGGAAGUAUACCAGAUACUUAUAGGUUCGAUGAGUUCAGCAUAAGUAACGAUUCCGAACCGGAGGAAUAUCUCAAUCCUCCAACGCCACCUCUAAGAAUAGAUUCACUGCCUGGAGAUGAAGUCAAAGAAGAGAGCGAACCUGUGAUUAAUAGCGCUAGUGUAGAAAAGGUUAAGGAAAAUGACAAGAGGAAAAGUAAACUGCAUAGGGAGCCAUCUGUAAAGUCGAGAACUAAUUGGUUUGAUGACACCUCUCAAACUGAUUCGACAGAGAAACGAUCACCCGUAGAACCAAGGAAAAACUGGCUUAAACAGGUAUUAGAAAAAACUCCAGAUGUUUUCAAGACUAACAAACCAGCAAAUAGCAACGUCGAAAGACCUAUAUUGGGCGGUUCAUCUUUCAUCAGCAGAAGAGGCAUGCUAUACAAGGUACAAAGUGGACCUGUGGAAGAUUUCUUUGGCGAAUACAGCGGAAGAUGGUGUGUUUUGGAAAACAACGAUUUGGUUUGUUAUUCUGAUAACACAUGUUCCAGCAUUAAAGAACAUUUUCCAGCAUCCAACAUUCUGAGCAUACAGUUAUUGCAGGAUCCGAAAUAUAAAUACAGGCACGAGAAUGAUGAUCUGCACUGUUUCGAGUUGAAUGUAACUGGAAAAAGUCGAGGUGGACACAAGUAUGGAUCUCGCAGUAUGAGCGAACGCAGAAUAUGGAUGCAGCACAUUGCGGAGAUGCUCACUCAAAAAUUCAAGUCCAGAUAUACCAGCAACUUUAUUAGAAUGGGAUGGGCUUAUGUUCGCGAAGGCGUUAGUGGCAAGUGGGCAGGGGCGUGGCUGAUUUUAAGUGAAAGAGAAUUACAUUAUGUUAUUGAUAGACAUUCUGUGAAGACAAUGGACUUAAGAAAAGCAAGAUGCAUUAUUUUGCAAGCAUAUGAAGAAACACAAAAUAUUCCUAGGACGAACGAUAAAGGACCGAAUAUGUUGGUGGACUGUCCAGAUUUGACAUUAUAUCUUAGGAUGUGGACCUCCAGAGAAACCAAAGUUUGGUGUCAUAUUGUGAAAUUAGAAGCUCAUAACAACGGUGCCAACCUCGAUCAGCAGCAACUAACAAAGAAUGACAUUCCUGUGAUUGUGGAGAAGUGCAUUAAUUUCAUUUAUGCUCACGGGAGUAUGUCCGAAGGAAUAUAUCGUAAACCAGGAACGGGCUCUGUAGUCUCCGAUCUGUUGUUCAAAUUUAGGAAAGACGCCUUUGCAGUACAGCUUACGAAAAACUUAUGCAGCGAAUACGAAGUUGCGACGGCCCUAAAAAGGUUCUUCAGAGAACUUCCAGAGCCUCUAUUCGGUAGUGAUCAUCGGCAGUACCUUUACGAAGUUGCCAAACACAAUAUUAAAGACGAAAAAAUCCGAAUGUUCAAAGCCGCCUUGGAUCAACUGCCAACUAUUUCGUACAAGACAUCGCGAAAGUUGUUGGGUCAUUUGCACUUUAUCAGUUUGCAGAGUUCUAAAAACCUCAUGGAUGUGGAUAAUUUAGCUGCAAUUUGGGGUCCAACCCUAAUGCAUUAUGAUGACAAAGACAGACCAAGUAAAGGAUUGGAUCAUGUUCAAGACGCUGAAGUAGUAAGCCAGCUUAUCCGACACUACAGGAAUAUAUUCCCCGAAGAUCCUGGAGAACUAGAAAAGGAAAAAGUUAUGCUAAAAAUUUUACAGAAAUAUACUCAAUCCCCUCAAGGCUCCGUUAAUGACAAAGCUGCAGGUGAUUUUCGAGUAUGGAUUUAUUUGUUUAGUAAAGAAGGAAAAGCAUAUAAUUUAGCGAUUGGUCCUAAUAGAACAGCGUAUGAAGUCUGUAUGGAACUUUGUGAUAAAAUUGGGAAACCUGCGUUGGGAAACCACGAAAUAAUUUUAGAAGAGGUAGUUCUUGACGAUCGGCUCGUUAGACCUAUUCAUCAUACCGAAAAGGUUUUAGACGUAGUACUAAAAUGGAGUUACUGGGACGACGCGGACAGAAAAAACAACUAUAUAACUUGUGUCUCUCUAUCGAAAUACUGGGAAUAUAUAAUCGAAAAACCUCUCCCAGUUUCUGGAGAACUGAAGUUUGCCGACAGCAAAUCCCGUGUGUUUCGGACGAUGCUCUUCCAGUUCACGCAAGGUUGUCUAAGUUGUUUCAAAGAUAAAACGAGCGAUGCAAGUUUGUUCUCCUGGCACAUCGAGGACUUAAUCUGGUACCUGGGCCAUGAACCGAAACGACACCCCCCGAGCAAAUAUACGAUGACGUUUUUCAAAGAGGGCUUCCAUCCGAAACGUACCAGGAACCACCCAUUUUUCGGCAACGUGGUGGUGUGGAACGAUGCCGGCAGCAGAGCCAACUGGAUCAGCGCCAUGCUUAAAUCUAGAUGAUGGCGUCUGGAAUAUAUCCAUAUCACCAUAUCUCUCGAAUCCAAACAUCGUAUUGGAAAGUUAACCUUGCCGUUUUGUAGAAAAGAAAAAAUGAUUGGGAGAAGCAUAAAAUUGAAUGUAGCACUAGCCAAUAGGAAAACAAUCAUGGCAACGAAAUGUAUGAGAAUCUCCACUAAUCAGGUUGGUUGAAUCCAGGAUGCCAUGAUUACUUUCUCGGCGGUGUUUACUUGAAAUGGACACCUUUAGGAAAUAUUUACCUUUUAAGGAUAAAAGGCAGAAUGAAGGCAUCUAACAACAAAAGCGAACAGUAGACGGAAAACUUUAAGCAUCUGCAGAACAGCCAGGAACAAUGAAGAAACUGAAG